rnacentral:rRNA from 1 species
GGGGGGGGGGGGGGGGGGGGCGAACACAGGCAGGUCGGGCGGCAGCACAGUAGGAGCUUGCUCUUACGGGUGGCGAGUGGCGGACGGGUGAGGAAUACAUCGGAAUCUACUUUUUCGUGGGGGAUAACGUAGGGAAACUUACGCUAAUACCGCAUACGACCUACGGGUGAAAGCAGGGGAUCUUCGGACCUUGCGCGAUUGAAUGAGCCGAUGUCGGAUUAGCUAGUUGGCGGGGUAAAGGCCCACCAAGGCGACGAUCCGUAGCUGGUCUGAGAGGAUGAUCAGCCACACUGGAACUGAGACACGGUCCAGACUCCUACGGGAGGCAGCAGUGGGGAAUAUUGGACAAUGGGCGCAAGCCUGAUCCAGCCAUACCGCGUGGGUGAAGAAGGCCUUCGGGUUGUAAAGCCCUUUUGUUGGGAAAGAAAAGCAGCAGGUUAAUACCCCGCUGUUCUGACGGUACCCAAAGAAUAAGCACCGGCUAACUUCGUG